GCCAGUGUGGUGCAGUGGUUAGAAUGUUGGGCUAGGACCUAAGAGAUCAGGGUUCAAAUCCCCACUCAGUCA
rnacentral:tRNA from 1 species